rnacentral:misc_RNA from 1 species
ACCCCUCUUUGAUUCCACCUCCAACUUAAUAUUAUUAAAUUCUUUUGUAGCCUCCUCACUCUUCACAUUUCCUUCUUUCUCCAAUAUCUUUCUCAACUCAUCCAACUGUUGUGCUUUAGCUUGCCGUUCAACUAGUUUGGCAUCAAGUGACUUAUCCAACACUCCAUCGUCGCUCAGCUUAGCUUUUAGGGUCUUGUAGUCUUUCUCGAUGGACUUUGCAGAAUUUACCUGUUCAUGUAUAGCCUGCAUUUGUUUGAGGUGCUUUGACAUUUUCUUAAAAGUCU